rnacentral:ncRNA from 1 species
AUCACGGGGAGCUCGUGUAACGGGCUGAGAGCAGGCUGUGAGCCGAUACCCAUAUAACCUGAUGUGGAUAAUGCCGCCGUAGGGAUGCUGUAUUUUC